UGCUUAUAUCAAAUUCAGGACAUUUGUGUCAACAUUCGUGUUGCUUUGAGGGUGAAUUUUUUUUACAUGUAAUGAUCCCAUGACCUUCUGUCAGCAGGCCAUAAUUUCAGUAUUGCAAUGGAAUUAUUUUUGGUGAAUAAUUUUACUCAUGCUCUCACUCCCUAUUUUCUUCUCAUGUGAUAUACUCCCAGAGUUGAAAGUGAGUUCUAAUCAGUGGUUAUGAAUCAAAGCAAUAUUUGAAUACCUUACUGAGACCCAGAUUAAAGAGCAAACAGGUCAUUGUGUCAUUCCUAUCACCUGUGUUGUCUACAUUUUUAGACAAUUAUCCAAAGGAGCUCAGAUUUUUAAAAAAAAAUGGCUAUAUUGUCCACUUCAGCCACCAAUAACUAUCUUUUUACUUAAGAUUUUUGAUUGUAUCUGUGUGUGUGUGUUAUGAUUAUUGCAGAUUCUGGGAAGAACCGCUUCUCAGAUCAAACAGAUGAGAAAGGGCUUAAAAGAAACAGGAGUGUGGUCAAUACUGUCAGAAAGAAGAGAUGUGGCUGAAGCUGUCUUCCCGUGUGAAAAAGAAGUUAUCUGCAGCCCCCAGGUCAUGAUUGAUCACAUCAUCUGGCCAACAAGUGAGGUUGUUGAGGACGACGACGAGGAAUUUCCACUUGAGACAAGAGCCAAAAUUGGAAUGUACCUUCGGCAUUUCAUUGAAACGGCACCAGCAACAUCUCGGAUGAACCUACUCAAGUUUUGGACUGGAUGGGAAGUUCUCUCUGGGCAGCUGAAGCUGGAGGUGGUACGUGGGGAGUUCCCAAAAUCCUCGACUUGUUACCAGAGCCUACGCAUCCCUGGCCACUUCUCAACUUAUGAGGAACUUAAACAAGCACUUGAAGCAUCUAUCGGGACAUCCGAUACUGGAUUUGGACUGAUAUAAUGCAGCUCCAUGCAAUACAUGUGUGAAACAUGUCAGUUCUCAAUUUCCUUUUUUCACAUUUCAUUUAUUUUAGGCCAACGUAUAUUUAACAAUGUUGAAGUAAAGAAAAAAAAUGUUAUCUUUACAGGCCGUGGAGUUGUAGCAUAAUGUAAUGUUGUCAUAAUGAAUGGUGUUUUAAAAACAGAAAUUACAAAAUGCAUGUUCGGUAAGUGUUUAUUCACAGUAUUCCCUUUGUGUCCAGUAUUCAUUCAGGAUUACAUUUACAAUGUUUAAACCAAAUAUUUUAAGAGACUGUUCACAACCUGUUGUACUGUGAGUGUUCAACAAUCAUUAAUACUUGAUA
ensembl:lncRNA